rnacentral:rRNA from 1 species
AUCAUUUGGACAGUGGCAGACUGGUGAGUAACGCGUGGAUAAUCUGCCCCGAAGAUGAGGAUAGCUCGCCGAAAGGUGAGGUAAUCCUCAAUGGUGUGGGAAGUACAUAUGUACAUCCCACUAAAGCUUUAGCGCUUCGGGAUGAGUCUGCGUCCUAUCAGCUUGUUGGUAGAGUAAAGGUCUACCAAGGCUAAGACGGGUAACUGGUCUGAGAGGAUGGUCAGUCACAGUGGCACUGAAACACGGGCCACACUCCUACGGGAGGCAGCAAUUAGGAAUCUUGCACAAUGGAGGAAACUCUGAUGCAGCGACACCGCGUGAAGGAUGAAGACCCUCGGGUUGUAAACUUCUUUUAUAAUCUAACAAGUUCUGAGUGGAGUAUGAAUAAGCACCUGCUAACUGCGUGCCAGAAGCAUCGGUGAAGCGUGGGGUGCGAGCGUUAUCCGGAUUUAUUGGGCGUAAAGAGAUGCGUAGGCGUUUUGGUAAGUCUUCUGUCAAAGCCUUCGGCCUAACCGAAGAAAGGCAGAGGAUACUAUCAGAAUUGAGACAGAGAGGGGGAAGUGGAAUUCCCGGUGGAGCGGUGAAAUGCGUUGAUAUCGGGAGGAACACCAGUGGCGAAGGCAACUUCCUGGCUCUGUUCUGACGCUGAGGCUCGAAAGCGUGGAGAGCAAAGCGGAUUAGAUACCCGUGUAGUCCAUGCUGUAAACGUUGGAUACUGGACGUUUGG